rnacentral:rRNA from 1 species
GAGUUUGAUCAUGGCUCAGAUUGAACGCUGGCGGCAGGCCUAACACAUGCAAGUCGAGCGGAUGAAGGGAGCUUGCUCCUGGAUUCAGCGGCGGACGGGUGAGUAAUGCCUAGGAAUCUGCCUGGUAGUGGGGGAGUAACGUCCGGAAACGGGACGCUAAUACCGCAUACGUCCUGAGGGAGGAAAGUAGGGGGAGUCUUCGGACCUCACGCUAUCAGAUGAGCCUAGGUCGGAUUAGCUAGUUGGUGGGGUAAAGGCCUACCAAGGCGACGAUCCGUAACUGGUCUGAGAGGAUGAUCAGUCACACUGGAACUGAGACACGGUCCAGACUCCUACGGGAGGCAGCAGUGGGGAAUAUUGGACAAUGGGCGGAAAGCCUGAUCCAGCCAUGCCGCGUGUGUGAAGAAGGUCUUCGGAUUGUAAAGCACUUUAAGUUGGGAGGAAGGGCAGUAAGUUAAUACCUUGCUGUUUUGACGUUACCAACAGAAUAAGCACCGGCUAACUUCGUGCCAGCCGCCGCGG